rnacentral:rRNA from 1 species
CCUACGGGUGGCAGCAGUGAGGAAUAUUGGUCAAUGGGCGGAAGCCUGAACCAGCCAAGUCGCGUGAGGGAAUAAGGCCCUACGGGUCGUAAACCUCUUUUGCCGGGGAGCAAGGGCGGGGACGUGUCCCGGCCAGGAGAGUACCCGGAGAAAAAGCAUCGGCUAACUCCGUGCCACCAGCCGCGGUAAUACGGAGGAUGCGAGCUUUAUCCGGAUUUAUUGGGUUUAAAGGGAGCGUAGAUGGGUUGUUUAGUCAGUGGUGAAGGGUUGCGGCUCAACCGUAAAAUUGCAAUUGAUACUGGCAGCCUUGAGUAGAGUUGAGGUAUGCGGAAUGCGUGGUGUAGCGGUGAAAUGCUUAGAUAUCACGAAGAACUCCGAUUGCGAAGGCAGCCUACUAAACUGCCACUGACAUUGAGGCACGAAAGUGUGGGUAUCAAACAGGAUUAGAUACCCUUGUAGUC